GACGAAACGCUGGCGGCGUGCUUAAACACAUGCAAGUCGAACGGGAGUAUUGAAGAAGCUUGCUUUAGAGAUACUUUAGUGGCGGACGGGUGAGUAACGCGUGAGGAGCUGUCCUAUGCAGGGGGACAACAGCUGGAAACGGCUGCUAAUACCCCAUAAGCCGAGAGGUAAAAGGAUCAAUCCGGCAGAGGAGGUACUCGCGUCCUAUCAGCUAGUAGGUGAGGUAACGGCUCACCUAGGCGAAGACGGGUAGCCGGCCUGAGAGGGCGACCGGCCACACUGGGACUGAGACACGGCCCAGACUCCUACGGGAGGCAGCAGUGGGGAAUAUUGCACAAUGGGGGAAACCCUGAUGCAGCAACGCCGCGUGGAGGAAGAAGGUUUUCGGAUUGUAAACUCCUGUCUUUUGGGACGAUAAUGACGGUACCAAAAGAGGAAGCCACGGCUAACUACGUG
rnacentral:rRNA from 1 species